CCUACGGGAGGCAGCAGUGGGGAAUAUUGGACAAUGGGGGGAACCCUGAUCCAGCCAUGCCGCGUGUGUGAAGAAGGCCCUCGGGUUGUAAAGCACUUUCAGUGAGGAAGAACGCCUGGUGGUUAAUACCCAUCAGGAAAGACAUCACUCACAGAAGAAGCACCGGCUAACUCCGUGCCAGCAGCCGCGGUAAUACGGAGGGUGCGAGCGUUAAUCGGAAUUACUGGGCGUAAAGCGCGCGUAGGUGGCUUGAUAAGCCGGUUGUGAAAGCCCCGGGCUCAACCUGGGAACGGCAUCCGGAACUGUCAAGCUAGAGUGCAGGAGAGGAAGGUAGAAUUCCCGGUGUAGCGGUGAAAUGUGUAGAGAUCGGGAGGAAUACCAGUGGCGAAGGCGGCCUUCUGGACUGACACUGACACUGAGGUGCGAAAGCGUGGGUAGCAAACAGGAUUAGAUACCCUGGUAGUC
rnacentral:rRNA from 1 species